CACCAGGUCAGGACACGGUAAGGAUUGACGGACUGAAGGCUCUUUCUCGUAUUCCGUGGAAAGUGGUGCAUGGCCGUUUUUGGUUGGUGGAUCGAUCCGUCUGGUUAAUUCCGUUAACGAACGAGACCUCGGCACUCCGAAUAGCGCGGCGGACGUCGCGGCCUCCGGGCCGUCUUCCGCACGAGCUUCUUAGAGGGACCGUCCCCCGCCGGGGAAGGAGGUGCGAGGCAACGACAGGUCUGUGAUGCCCUUAGAUGUUCUGGGCCGCACGCGCAUUACACUGACGCGUCCAACGGGUGACUCCCGACCCGAAGGGGCCGGGGAAUCCGCAAGGCGCGUCGUGAUGGGGAUUGAACGUUGCAAUUGUUGUUCACGAACGAGGAAUUCCUAGUAGGCGCGGGUCAUCAACCCGCGCCGAUUACGUCCCUGCCCUUUGUACACACC
rnacentral:rRNA from 1 species